ensembl:lncRNA
ACAACCUCGAUUUCUUAUAGUCCAGCUUAUCUGCUUUUCAUGGGGAAUUCAAAAGCAAGGGCAUAAGGUGUCACCACAGAGGAUCAUGUGGCUCCAUCUCACCUCAUCCCAACCAUCUUUUUUUUGUCACACCACCCCUCUGCAUGUCCUCCUUCACUGAAUCCACGAACCUCCUCUGUGGUUUUCCUCUUUUCCUCUUGCCUGGCAGCUCCAUAUUCAACAUCCGUUCUCCAGUAUAUCCACAAUCCUUCCUCUGCACAUGACAAAACCAUGUCAGUUUUCCAAAGAAAAUUAUCCCCUAUUAUCCCCUGUUCCACUAUUGGGAUCACUGUGAGGAGUCAGAAGUAUGAAUUUUAUAGGUGCAUCAUAAAUGAAGACAUUAAAAGACUUAAUCGGC